GACGAACGCUGGCGGCGUGCUUAACACAUGCAAGUCGAACGAUGAAGCCUAGCUUGCUAGGUGGAUUAGUGGCGAACGGGUGAGUAAUACGUGAGUAACCUACCUUUAACUCUGGGAUAAGCCUGGGAAACUGGGUCUAAUACCGGAUACGACCAAUCUCCGCAUGGGGUGUUGGUGGAAAGCGUUAUGUAGUGGUUAUAGAUGGGCUCACGGCCUAUCAGCUUGUUGGUGAGGUAACGGCUCACCAAGGCGACGACGGGUAGCCGGCCUGAGAGGGUGACCGGCCACACUGGGACUGAGACACGGCCCAGACUCCUACGGGAGGCAGCAGUGGGGAAUAUUGCACAAUGGGCGCAAGCCUGAUGCAGCGACGCCGCGUGAGGGAUGACGGCCUUCGGGUUGUAAACCUCUGUUAGCAGAGAAGAAGAGAGAUUGACGGUACCUGCAGAGAAAGCGCCGGCUAACUACGUGCCAGCAGCCGCGGUAAUACGUAGGGCGCGAGCGUUGUCCGGAAUUAUUGGGCGUAAAGAGCUUGUAGGCGGUUUGUCGCGUCUGCUGUGAAGGCCGGAGCUUAACUCCGUGUAUUGCAGUGGGUACGGGCAGACUAGAGUGCAGUAGGGGAGACUGGAAUUCCUGGUGUAGCGGUGGAAUGCGCAGAUAUCAGGAGGAACACCGAUGGCGAAGGCAGGUCUCUGGGCUGUAACUGACGCUGAGAAGCGAAAGCAUGGGGAGCGAACAGGAUUAGAUACCCUGGUAGUCCAUGCCGUAAACGUUGGGCACUAGGUGUGGGGAACAUUCCACGUUUUCCGCGCCGUAGCUAACGCAUUAAGUGCCCCGCCUGGGGAGUACGGCCGCAAGGCUAAAACUCAAAGAAAUUGACGGGGGCCCGCACAAGCGGCGGAGCAUGCGGAUUAAUUCGAUGCAACGCGAAGAACCUUACCAAGGCUUGACAUAUACUGGACCGCAUCAGAGAUGGUGUUUCCCUUCGGGGCUGGUAUACAGGUGGUGCAUGGUUGUCGUCAGCUCGUGUCGUGAGAUGUUGGGUUAAGUCCCGCAACGAGCGCAACCCUCGUUCUAUGUUGCCAGCACGUUAUGGUGGGGACUCAUAGGAGACUGCCGGGGUCAACUCGGAGGAAGGUGGGGAUGACGUCAAAUCAUCAUGCCCCUUAUGUCUUGGGCUUCACGCAUGCUACAAUGGCCGGUACAGAGGGUUGCGAUACUGUGAGGUGGAGCUAAUCCCUAAAAGCCGGUCUCAGUUCGGAUUGGGGUCUGCAACUCGACCCCAUGAAGUCGGAGUCGCUAGUAAUCGCAGAUCAGCAACGCUGCGGUGAAUACGUUCCCGGGCCU
rnacentral:rRNA from 1 species